AACUGUGGGCUCAGGAGGCAGAGCUCUUGGCAUUUCCCCAUGGCCCAUGCCCCUCUCCUGCUCCCCCUCCUCACUCUCUGCACAGGUGC
rnacentral:pre_miRNA from 1 species